CCUACGGGAGGCAGCAGUAGGGAAUCUUUCACAAUGGGCGAAAGCCUGAUGGAGCAACGCCGCGUGCAGGAUGAAGGCCUUCGGGUUGUAAACUGCUUUUAUCAGCGAGAAAUAUGAUGGUAACUUAUGAAUAAGGAUCGGCUAACUACGUGCCAGCAGCCGCGGUCAUACGUAGGAUCCGAGCAUUAUCCGGAGUGACUGGGUGUAAAGAGUUGCGUAGGUGGCAUAAUAAGUAGCUAGUGAAAUCUGGUGGCUCAACCAUUCAGACUAUUAGCUAAACUGCUAAGCUCGAGACCGUUAGGGGUAACUGGAAUUUCUAGUGUAGGAGUGAAAUCCGUAGAUAUUAGAAGGAACACCAAUAGCGUAGGCAGGUUGCUGGGACGGGUCUGACACUAAGGCACGAAAGCGUAGGGAGCAAACGGGAUUAGAUACCCGUGUAGUC
rnacentral:rRNA from 1 species